UGCCCCAGAAAAUUAAGACAUUUAAUAGUAACUAAGUUAAGACAGUUUUUUAAAAAGUGACUUCUAUAACAAGUGGGUACAAUUUUUCAGGAUAGAUGAUUUUGUAACUGCCAGCACUGGGAAUUUAUUCUGGGAUUUUGCAAUCAAACAGGAUCGCCAGUAAUAAAAGGUUGUUCCAUGUUGCAAGUUAUACUCUCAGGAAUGGACAUGCCUGGGUUGUGGGAUGUAACUGACUAAAAUAUAAGAAAAAAGUUGUAUUAUCCAUAUCAAUAUACCGGAGAGCAUGAUUCAUUCGGCCUAUAAGAAAAACAGGAGAAAAAACUUAUUUAAUGCUUAUUUAAGCAGAUGAUGCCCUGCUUCUGCACAAGGAACAGAUCAGUGAACUAAUGGGAUGCUUCAAUUGCAUAGAAGUCAAUUUUUGGCCGCACGUUAAGUUCCUAAGCUGAGAUGUCUCUUCUUAGUGCUGUGGAGCGCAAACAGCUUUAAGUAACCUGUUGCUGAAUAUCAUCAAGAUUUUAGAAGACCAGGUGAAGGGAAAAAACACAGAGACAUUAAGUAUGCAGGAAGUUUAUUUCCUACCUUAAAAUCUACAGUAGUUCUAGUGACAGAGACUUACUAGCAGAAAAUCUAGAUAUUUAUAUUAACUUAGAAUUAUAAGAUCACAUUAGAGAUUAAGUACCACUCAGAACCAAAGGAAUGUAAUGAGACUGAAGUUCUUUAAUAUUUAGCAUGUUAUGAAAUGGGUUUUAGUGAAACAAAAAUGGAAUGCUAAUUUCAUAAAAAUAUACACAUACAUAUAAAAGUUGUUCCUUGCAUUUGAAUUAGAGAAAAAAACCCAAAAGUAGUGCUUCUAGAACUUUCAAGUUUCUCUGAUUUACAUUUAAAGUGUUUAUCGUUGGAUUUGUUAACUUUACAAAUUAUGUAUUUAUAUUGAACAUGUUUAGCUGACACCUUUCU